rnacentral:tRNA from 1 species
AGGUGGAGUGGCCGAGCGUCCAGGUGGCAGGCUGUAGUCCUGUUUAUGUGGGUUCAAAUCCUAUUUCUAU